AGAGUUUGAUCCUGGCUCGGACGAACGCUGGCGGCGUGCUUAACACAUGCAAGUCGAACGGUAAGGCCCCUUCGGGGGUACACGAGUGGCGAACGGGUGAGUAACACGUGAGCAACCUGCCCUUGACACUGGAAUAACAGUUGGAAACAGCUGCUAAUGCCAGAUAUGACCUUCGGUGGCAUCACCCGAAGGUGGAAAGUGCUUAGCGGUCAAGGAUGGGCUCGCGGCCUAUCAGCUUGUUGGUGAGGUAACGGCUCACCAAGGUAACGAUCCGUAGCCGGCCUGAGAGGGCGGUCGGCCACACUGACACUGACAUACGGGUCAGACUCCUACGGGAGGCAGCAGUCGGGAAUUUUGGGCAAUGGGCGAAAGCCUGACCCAGCAACGCCGCGUGAAGGAUGAAAUCCCUCGGGAUGUAAACUUCGCAAGAAUGGGAAGAAUGAACGAGCGCUAAUACCGUUCGUGAUGACGGUACCAUUUGUAAGCUCCGGCUAACUCCGUGCCAGCAGCCGCGGUAAUACGGGGGGAGCAAGCGUUGUUCGGAUUUACUGGGCGUAAAGGGCGCGUAGGCGGCCAGCGCAAGUCAGUUGUGAAAUCUCCGGGCUUAACUCGGAAAGGUCAACUGAUACUGCGCGGCUAGAGUGCGGAAGGGGCAACUGGAAUUCUCGGUGUAGCGGUGAAAUGCGUAGAUAUCGAGAGGAACACCUGCGGCGAAGGCGGGUUGCUGGGCCGACACUGACGCUGAGGCGCGAAAGCUAGGGGAGCGAACGGGAUUAGAUACCCCGGUAGUCCUAGCCUUAAACGAUGAAUGCUUGGUGUCUGGGGUUAUAUAGUCCCCGGGUGCCGUCGCUAACGCUUUAAGCAUUCCGCCUGGGGAGUACGGUCGCAAGACGAAACUCAAAGGAAUGACGAAGGCGAAUCGUACCCAGCC
rnacentral:rRNA from 1 species